rnacentral:rRNA from 1 species
UACGUAGGGUGCAAGCGUUGUCCGGAAUUAUUGGGCGUAAAGAGCUCGUAGGCGGUUUGUCACGUCUGCUGUGAAAACGCGAGGCUCAACCUCGCGCCUGCAGUGGGUACGGGCAAACUAGAGUGCGGUAGGGGAGAUUGGAAUUCCUGGUGUAGCGGUGGAAUGCGCAGAUAUCAGGAGGAACACCAAUGGCGAAGGCAGAUCUCUGGGCCGUAACUGACGCUGAGGAGCGAAAGCGUGGGGAGCGAACAGG